rnacentral:rRNA from 1 species
UACGUAGGUGGCGAGCGUUGUCCGGAAUAACUGGGCGUAAAGGGAGCGUAGGUGGUUGAUUAAGUUAAAUGUGAAAGCCCAGGGCUCAACUCUGGAACUGCAUUUAAUACUGGUCGGCUAGAGUGCAGGAGAGGGCGAUGGAAUUCCAUGUGUAGCGGUAAAAUGCGUAGAUAUAUGGAGGAACACCAGUGGCGAAGGCGGUCGCCUGGCCUGUAACUGACGCUGAGGCACGAAAGCGUGGGGAGCAAAUAGG